rnacentral:rRNA from 1 species
GGAUGAACGCUGGCGGCGUGCCUAAUACAUGCAAGACGAGCGAACAGACGAGGAGCUUGCUCCUCUGACGUUAGCGGCGGACGGGUGAGUAACACGUGGAUAACCUACCUAUAAGACUGGGAUAACUUCGGGAAACCGGAGCUAAUACCGGAUAAUAUAUUGAACCGCAUGGUUCAAUAGUGAAAGACGGUUUUGCUGUCACUUAUAGAUGGAUCCGCGCCGCAUUAGCUAGUUGGUAAGGUAACGGCUUACCAAGGCAACGAUGCGUAGCCGACCUGAGAGGGUGAUCGGCCACACUGGAACUGAGACACGGUCCAGACUCCUACGGGAGGCAGCAGUAGGGAAUCUUCCGCAAUGGGCGAAAGCCUGACGGAGCAACGCCGCGUGAGUGAUGAAGGUCUUCGGAUCGUAAAACUCUGUUAUUAGGGAAGAACAAAUGUGUAAGUAACUAUGCACGUCUUGACGGUACCUAAUCAGAAAGCCACGGCUAACUACGUG